CGAAAUGCGAUAAGUAAUGUGAAUUGCAGAAUUCAGUGAAUCAUCGAAUCUUUGAACGCACCUUGCGCUCCUUGGUAUUCCUUGGAGCAUGCCUGUUUGAGUAUCAUGAAAUCUUCAAAGUAAAUCUUUUGUUAACUCAAUUGGUUUCUACUUUGGUAUUGGAGGUCUUUGCAGCUUCACACCUGCUCCUCUUUGUUCAUUAGCUGGAUCUCAGUGUUAUGCUUGGUUCCACUCGGCGUGAUAAGUUAUCUAUCGCUGAGGACACUGUAAAAGGUGGCCAAGGUAAAUGCAGAUGAACCGCUUCUAAUAGUCCAUUGACUUGGACAAUACUUUUAUGAUCUGAUCUCAAAUCAGGUAGGAAUACCCGCUGAACUUAAGC
rnacentral:misc_RNA from 1 species